UAGGGAAUAUUGGACAAUGGGGGCAACCCUGAUCCAGCCAUGCCGCGUGAGUGAAGAAGGCCUUAGGGUUGUAAAGCUCUUUCGCCCGCGAAGAUAAUGACGGUAGCGGGAGAAGAAGCCCCGGCUAACUCCGUGCCAGCAGCCGCGGUAAUACGGAGGGGGCUAGCGUUGUUCGGAAUUACUGGGCGUAAAGCGUACGUAGGCGGAUGCGCAAGUUGGGGGUGAAAUCCCGGGGCUUAACCUCGGAAUUGCCCUCAAAACUGCACGUCUUGAGACCGAGAGAGGUAAGGGGAAUUCCUAGUGUAGAGGUGAAAUUCGUAGAUAUUAGGAAGAACACCAGUGGCGAAGGCGCCUUACUGGCUCGGUACUGACGCUGAGGUACGAAAGCGUGGGGAGCAAACA
rnacentral:rRNA from 1 species